rnacentral:rRNA from 1 species
UACGUAGGGUGCAAGCGUUGUCCGGAAUUAUUGGGCGUAAAGAGCUCGUAGGCGGUUUGUCGCGUCGGGAGAGAAAACACCGGGCUUAACUCGGUGCUUGCUUUCGAUACGGGCAGACUAGAGGUAUGCAGGGGAGAACGGAAUUCCUGGUGUAGCGGUGAAAUGCGCAGAUAUCGGGAGGAACACCGGUGGCGAAGGCGGUUCUCUGGGCCUGUACUGACGCUGAGGAGCGAAAGCGUGGGGAGCGAACAGG